rnacentral:rRNA from 1 species
UACGUAGGGGGCGAGCGUUGUCCGGAUUUAUUGGGCGUAAAGAGCUCGUAGGUGGUUUGGUAAGUCGGAUGUGAAAUCUCCAGGCUCAACCUGGAGGGGUCAUUCGAUACUGCCAUGACUAGAGUUCGGUAGGGGAGUGUGGAAUUCCUGGUGGAGCGGUGAAAUGCGCAGAUAUCAGGAGGAACACCCGUAGCGAAGGCGGCACUCUGGGACGGUACUGACGCUGAGACGCGAAAGCGUGGGGAGCGAACAGG